rnacentral:rRNA from 1 species
UACGUAGGUGGCGAGCGUUGUCCGGAUUUACUGGGCGUAAAGAGCGCGCAGGCGGUCGUACAAGUCGCGUGUGAAAGCCCCCGGCUCAACUGGGGAGGGUCACGCGAUACUGUUCGACUCGAAGGCAGGAGAGGGAAGUGGAAUUCCCGGUGUAGUGGUGAAAUGCGUAGAUAUCAAGCAGAACACCUGCGGCGAAGGCGGCCUUCUGGACGAUGACUGACGCUGAGACGCGAAAGCGUGGGGAGCAAACAGG